GAGGGCUACUACAGUGACGGCCUGUAGUUUUCUCUGAAACACCUGCUGUUUCUAUUUCUCCCCUCUGUAGGAAUUGUCUUCCUCUAACUCACAAUAGGAAAUAAUAGAGGCCAGUGUCAUUUGGCUUGCUGGUUAAAAGAAGACAACGGGCCCUGGAAUCUGUGAAAGUGGCCGGGAAUGAAGCUGGUCAAAUGUACUGAAAGGGUUCGGUACCUGUUGCUUCUGGAAGAGGAGGGGCUGAGGUCCCCUUCCUGUGCACUCCCUUGGGAGAGGCCUGGUCGCUGCUCUGCCACGGAGGACAGGUGCAAAGGC